AGCCUUAAGGAAUUAUUUAAGGUAAAGCCUGCCCAGUGAGGUUUAUUAAAUGGCCGCGGUACUUUGACCGUGCUAAGGUAGCAUAAUCACUUGACUUUUAAAUGGAGUCUGGAAUGAAUGGAAAAACGGAGUUAAGCUGUCUCUGAUUUUUUAUUUUGAAUUUACUAACUAGGUGAAAAGGCCUAGAAAUGAAAAAAGACGAGAAGACCCUUAGAGUUUUAAUAUGUUUUUGUUGGGGUGACACAGGAUAAACAUCCUAAGAUAAAUGUGACGGUAAUCAUGAAUAAGUAAACUACCUAAGGGAUAACAGCAUAAUCUGUUAAGGUUUGUGACCUCGAUGUUGGACUAGGAAGCCUUUAAGCUAGCCGCUUAAAGUGGGAAUUCUGUUCGAAUUAUUACUCCU
rnacentral:rRNA from 1 species